GGCACUUUGGCGGAGUGGUUAACGCGAUGCCCUGCUACCAAGUCAGGCAUUUCCCUCGGGAGCGUGUGUUCGAAUCACACAGGUGUCG
rfam:Blumeria graminis f. sp. hordei DH14, WGS project CATH01000000 data, contig: 000755